rnacentral:rRNA from 1 species
UGAGGAAUAUUGGUCAAUGGGCGGGAGCCUGAACCAGCCAAGCCGCGUGGAGGAAGAAGGUACAGAGUAUCGUAAACUCCUUUUGUCAGGGGAUAAAAGGCGCCACGAGUGGCGUUCUGAAGGUACCUGAAGAAAAACGCAUCGGCUAACUCCGUGCCAGCAGCCGCGGUAAUACGGAGGAUGCGAGCGUUAUCCGGAUUUAUUGGGUUUAAAGGGUGCGUAGGCGGUCUUUUAAGUCAGCGGUGAAAGCCCGGGGCUCAACCCCGGCGAGCCGUUGAUACUGGGAGACUGGAGAGGAAGAGAGGCAUGCGGAAUUCGCGGUGUAGCGGUGGAAUGCUUAGAUAUCGCGAAGAACUCCGAUUGCGAAGGCAGCAUGCUGGCUUCUGUCUGACGCUGAGGCACGAAAGCGUGGGGAUCGAACAGGAUUAAUACC